AGGACGAACGCUGGCGGCGUGCUUAACACAUGCAAGUCGAACGGUGAAGGAGAGCUUGCUCUCCGGAUCAGUGGCGAACGGGUGAGUAACACGUGAGUAACCUGCCCUUGACUCUGGGAUAAGCGUUGGAAACGACGUCUAAUACCGGAUACGAGCUUCAGCCGCAUGGCUAGGAGCUGGAAAGAUUUCGGCAAGGAUGGACUCGCGGCCUAUCAGCUAGUUGGUGAGGUAAUGGCUCAACCAAGGCGACGACGGGUAGCCGGCCUGAGAGGGUGACCGGCCACGACGUGGGACUGAGACACGGCCCAGACUCCACGGAGCAGCAGUGGGAAUAUUGCACAAGUGGGCGACGAAGCCUGAUG
rnacentral:rRNA from 1 species